UCGCGGAAGACUGGGAAUGGAGGC
rnacentral:piRNA from 1 species